rnacentral:rRNA from 1 species
GCAAGUCGAACGGAAACAGAAGGUAGCUUGCUACUUUGCUGUCGAGUGGCGGACGGGUGAGUAAUGCUUGGGAACAUGCCAAAACGUGGGGGACAACAGUUGGAAACGACUGCUAAUACCGCAUAAUAUCUCCGGAUCAAAGCAGGGGACCUUCGGGCCUUGCGCGUUUUGAGUGGCCCAAGUGGGAUUAGCUAGUUGGUAAGGUAAUGGCUCACCAAGGCGACGAUCCAUAGCUGGUCUGAGAGGAUGAUC